UACGGAGGGUGCGAGCGUUAAUCGGAAUUACUGGGCGUAAAGCGCGCGUAGGCGGUUUGUUAAGUCAGCUGUGAAAGCCCCGGGCUCAACCUGGGAACUGCAGUUGAUACUGGCCGACUAGAGUACGAGAGAGGGAGGUAGAACUCCAUGUGUAGCGGUGAAAUGCGUAGAUAUAUGGAGGAAUACCAGUGGCGAAGGCGGCCUCCUGGCUCGAUACUGACGCUGAGGUGCGAAAGCGUGGGGAGCAAACAGG
rnacentral:rRNA from 1 species